AUUGAACGCUGGCGGCAUGCCUUACACAUGCAAGUCGAACGGUAACGGGCCUUCGGGUGCCGACGAGUGGCGAACGGGUGAGUAAUGUAUCGGAACGUACCUUUCAGUGGGGGAUAACGUAGCGAAAGUUACGCUAAUACCGCAUAUUCUGUGAGCAGGAAAGCAGGGGAUCGCAAGACCUUGCGCUGAUUGAGCGGCCGAUAUCAGAUUAGCUAGUUGGUGAGGUAAAGGCUCACCAAGGCGACGAUCUGUAGCGGGUCUGAGAGGAUGAUCCGCCACACUGGAACUGAGACACGGCCCAGACUCCUACGGGAGGCAGCAGUGGGGAAUUUUGGACAAUGGGGGCAACCCUGAUCCAGCCAUGCCGAGUGAGUGAAGAAGGCCUUCGGGUUGUAAAGCUCUUUCGGCCGGGAAGAAAUCGUAUCAGCUAAUACCUGGUGCGGAUGACGGUACCGGCAUAAGAAGCACCGGCUAACUACGUGCCAGCCGCCGCCGUAAAAC
rnacentral:rRNA from 1 species